rnacentral:rRNA from 1 species
UACGGGGGGAGCAAGCGUUGUUCGGAUUUACUGGGCGUAAAGGGCGCGUAGGCGGCCACCGCAGGUCGGUUGGGAAAUCUCCGGGCUUAACCCGGAAAGGUCAAUCGAUACUGCGGGGCUAGAGUGCAGAAGGGGCAACUGGGAUUCUCGGCGUAGCGGUGAAAUGCGUAGAUAUCGAGAGGAACACCUGCGGCGAAGGCGGGUUGCUGGGCUGACACUGACGCUGACAGCGCGAAAGCUAGGGGAGCGAACGGG